rnacentral:rRNA from 1 species
UACAGAGGGGGCAAGCGUUGUUCGGAAUUACUGGGCGUAAAGGGCGCGUAGGCGGCCGCCUAAGUCAGACGUGAAAUCCCUCGGCUCAACCGGGGAACUGCGCCUGAUACUGGGUGGCUUGAAUCCGGGAGAGGGAUGCGGAAUUCCAGGUGUAGCGGUGAAAUGCGUAGAUAUCUGGAGGAACACCGGUGGCGAAGGCGGCAUCCUGGACCGGUAUUGACGCUGAGGCGCGAAAGCCAGGGGAGCAAACGGG